rnacentral:rRNA from 1 species
UACGUAGGGUCCGAGCGUUGUCCGGAAUUAUUGGGCGUAAAGGGCUCGUAGGCGGUCCGUCACGUCGGGAGUGAAAACUCAGGGCUCAACCCUGAGCGUCGCUUCCGAUACGGGCGGACUAGAGGUAUGCAGGGGAGAACGGAAUUCCUGGUGUAGCGGUGGAAUGCGCAGAGUAUCAGGAGGACACCGAUGGCGAAGGCAGGUCUCUGGGCCACUACUGACGCUGAGAGCGAAAGCAUGGGGAGCGAACAGG